AUACAUGCAAGUAGAACGCUGAAGAGAGGAGCUUGCUCUUCUUGGAUGAGUUGCGAACGGGUGAGUAACGCGUAGGUAACCUGCCUUGUAGCGGGGGAUAACUAUUGGAAACGAUAGCUAAUACCGCAUAACAAUGGAUGACACAUGUCAUUUAUUUGAAAGGGGCAAUUGCUCCACUACAAGAUGGACCUGCGUUGUAUUAGCUAGUAGGUGAGGUAACGGCUCACCUAGGCGACGAUACAUAGCCGACCUGAGAGGGUGAUCGGCCACACUGGGACUGAGACACGGCCCAGACUCCUACGGGAGGCAGCAGUAGGGAAUCUUCGGCAAUGGGGGCAACCCUGACCGAGCAACGCCGCGUGAGUGAAGAAGGUUUUCGGAUCGUAAAGCUCUGUUGUAAGUCAAGAACGAGUGUGAGAGUGGAAAGUUCACACUGUGACGGUAGCUUGCCAGAAAGGGACGGCUAACUACGUGCCAGCAGCCGCGGUAAUACGUAGGUCCCGAGCGUUGUCCGGAUUUAUUGGGCGUAAAGCGAGCGCAGGCGGUUUGAUAAGUCUGAAGUUAAAGGCUGUGGCUCAACCAUAGUUCGCUUUGGAAACUGUCAAACUUGAGUGCAGAAGGGGAGAGUGGAAUUCCAUGUGUAGCGGUGAAAUGCGUAGAUAUAUGGAGGAACACCGGUGGCGAAAGCGGCUCUCUGGUCUGUAACUGACGCUGAGGCUCGAAAGCGUGGGGAGCGAACAGGAUUAGAUACCCUGGUAGUCCACGCCGUAAACGAUGAGUGCUAGGUGUUGGAUCCUUUCCGGGAUUCAGUGCCG
rnacentral:rRNA from 1 species